rnacentral:rRNA from 1 species
AUUGAACGCUGGCGGCAUGCUUUACACAUGCAAGUCGAACGGCAGCGCGGGGCAACCUGGCGGCGAGUGGCGAACGGGUGAGUAAUAUAUCGGAACGUACCCAGGAGUGGGGGAUAACGUAGCGAAAGUUACGCUAAUACCGCAUACGAUCUAUGGAUGAAAGCAGGGGAUCUUCGGACCUUGUGCUCGUGGAGCGGCCGAUAUCUGAUUAGCUAGUUGGGAGGUAAAGGCUCACCAAGGCGACGAUCAGUAGCUGGUCUGAGAGGACGACCAGCCACACUGGGACUGAGACACGGCCCAGACUCCUACGGGAGGCAGCAGUGGGAAUUUUGACAAUGGGCGCAAGCCUGAUCCAGCAAUGCCGCGUGAGUGAAGAAGGCCU